CUCUUUCUCAGUUCCCUUAUGAAAUAAGGGCACACAGGUAAUAAACAAAGCACUAUAAAAGAUCAGAUGGAGGUAUUCGGCGAGCUCAUUCAAUAUCCAGAGCCAGCGUGCUGCUCUCGCCACUGGGGCUUUCGGCUUCAAGAGCAGACUUCAGACUCAGAAUGGUGGCGGCCCUAGGCCAGAGAGACCCUUCUCCUUUCUGCAACCCGGCUGAAUGGCGCAGGCCGGGUCCUGGGUCAGCUAGCCACCCCUGCUGGCCGAGGCACAGCGGAAAAGAUGACAGAGUAGAGACCCUGGGAUUUGCUGAUCUGGAUUUUGGAUGCUACCCUGACUUCCUUUGUCAAUCCUCAGGCCAGAUCCAGGUCUCAGUUUCCAAGAAGCUGUGUCCCACGUGAAGGGAGCGCUCAGCCCCCAGGCCAGAUGGUGCGUGUCGGGACCACCUGGGACAGCAGGGAGAACUCCUGGGCUGAGGGAGCAGGACGUGAGGUGUGUGAGGAGGAGUGGUCAGAAAGGAGACUCGACGGCCUUUUCUUUGUUCUUCAGUUUUCUAACAAGGAAACAAAAUGAACAUUAAGCCUGAAAGAGGAGAGUGAGCCUUGCAGGACUUUGCAAGCUCUGGUGGAGUGGUUUACGGAAGCCAGUGAUGCAGUUCCUGCCCUGGUAAUCUUGAUCCUGGCCGGGAAGGGGAUGAACUGGGCCCCUGGGGUUGUGUCUGCCUCCUCACUGCAGGCUGCGCUGGGCAAGAUGUCACAAAAUGGAGGAAGACAGAAGAGCCCCAUGAUCUGCUGUGGGUGCUUAGCUGCCAUCAGCUGGGUCCUUUUGCUCACCGAUUGGGAGAAAAUUCAAAGGCACAGGAGAGAAGGGAGGUCGCUGUCCUCAGGAUGAGAGGAAAACCACACUGGGAUUAGCAAGAGCCAAUAGUCAGCUAGAGCAGCUUUGCUAGAGGAGAUGAGUCUAUCGGAUUUUUUCGAGGGAGACAGAAUUCAUCAUGACAUAGAAAGAAGAUGAAAGAAUCGUGUCUGGGGUUCUGCUAACUGUCCUGUUAAGCACCAGGCCACACGUCCCUCUCAUUUUCCCAGUACCAGUAAGGACAUUGAAGGGCUUGUCUCCUCUCAUUUAUAUCCUAUUGGUCACCCCCAUACUGUGUGCGCACGCGCGCGCGCACACACACACACACACACACACACACACACACACACACACACACACACACACCCCACAGCCCAAAAUCCUUCUCCACGCCACUAUCCUGCUGAUCUUCCUUUACUUAAAAAUUAUUGGCAAAGUUAUGGUGAUGGCACACGGGUGACUUGGUGAUGGGAAA